UACGUAGGGGGCAAGCGUUGUCCGGAUUUAUUGGGCGUAAAGAGCGUGUAGGCGGCUAGGUAGGUCCGUUGUGAAAACUCGAGGCUCAACCUCGAGCUGUCGAUGGAAACCAUCUGGCUAGAGUCCGGAAGAGGAGAGUGGAAUCCUGGUGUAGCGGUGAAAUGCGCAGAUAUCAGGAAAGAACACCCGUGGCGAAAGGGCGGGCUCUCUGGGUACGUGACUGACGCUGAGACGCGAAAGCGUGGGAGCGAA
rnacentral:rRNA from 1 species